GGCUUCUCAAGAAAUCAAAAUUCCCUGGAGAUCAGAUUUCCCAAAUUAAAGGGAGACACGGAGAGAAAAAAUUGUGGUUGAAAUACUUCUUUCUCUCGAAAAAUACUUCCCAAGUUCUAAGGAUUUUCUAGACUUUUCAUCUUGAAUCUUCUCUGAGGAAGACGGGGUUCUUAGGGUUAAUUCGUUGCGAAUAUUUUCAUACUUGUUUCAGGUUUGCGAUUAGGGCAUAUAAAUUCUCGAUCUGGUUGCCGAUUUUUUAUGAUCUGGAAACCAACACGGAGAAAUUAUCGACCGAUCUUUAAUUCUUAAUUCUUAGGGUUUUAUUUCUUUUGCUAAGUCUUCGAUUCGAUAUUGUUGUACCAUGAACGAUCAGAAUCCGAUGAUUAAUCAAGCUCAAAUGAUUAGUAUGAGCCAUCCGCAGAUGGCAAACCAGCCUCAUGUAAUCAAUCAGUCUCAAGUUAUGAGCCAGCCUCAGUCUCAAGUUAUGAAUCAGCCGCAGGUGAUUAACCAACCUCAAUUUCUCAGCCAAAGCCAGCUAAUGAUCCAUCCUCAGAUAAUGUCUCAGUCGCAGGCCAUCAAUCAGCCAAAUCUUUUGCCGCAACCUCAGGCUAUGCAGCAGUCCCAGAUGAUCAUGAAUCAGUCUCAGCCGCCUAUGAUGAGUGGAAACUACAAGGUAUGGGCACGCCCGCAGCUCCCCUUGGAUCCUAACAAGAAGUAUCGCAACUUCUCGAAGCCUAACUAUGGAAACAUGAAGCAACCGAGGUCAGGGCGAGGCAAUUGGAAGGGAAAGGGCGUUAGUGACAAAAGGAUAAACAAUAGGAGAACGGAUAAACUCUUACCGGGUUCCAUAAGUGGUGGAAAUAACGCUGGAGGAUAUCAACCUCCAAGUCUUCACGAGUUGCAGUCUCAAAAUCGUAUUAAGGCUCGAAAAUUUUACUCAAAAAAGAAAUUUAGUAAUAGGUUCGCGCCUUAUGCGCCACGGAAUACUACGUCUUUUAUAAUUCGUGCCAAGAAGUUCGGUGGAAUAGCUUCACUUGUGUCUCCUUGUCCCGUAACACCAGCUGUGCUUCCUACUCCUAUGUUCUCCCCUUCGAGGGAGGCUUUGGGUGAUAUGGCCAAGGAGGAGUGGGGCGUUGAUGGCUAUGGAUCAAUGAAAGGGUUGAUAAGGCUCAGAGGGUCUGAGAACAAGGCGGAAGUGCAUGAGGAUGAAGAAGAGGAAGGCAGUGGUGGGUCGAGUGAUAGUGAUGUGGAGGAGCAUCUGGAGGUAGAACGCAGAUUGGACCAUGACUUGAGCCGAUUUGAAAUGAUAUACCAGAACUAUGGAGUUGAGUAUAAUAACUGUUUGGAGAAUAGGGUCGAUGAUCAGGAUAGCCAUAUAGCUCAGUUAGAGGAGGAGAACUUGACACUGAAAGAGAGGCUUUUCCUUAUGGAGAGAGAGAUUGGUGAUUUGAGGAGGAAGUUGCAACUUCUUGAGGGGCAAAACCCAGCUAUUGACGAUGUGAAUGAGGAGGUAGUGGAGAACGUAUCUGAGAAUGAAAGUGAUGGAGGGUUGGAGAUGGAGUAUGCAUCUGAGAUUAGAGCAAACCAAGAUGUUGAUGUUGACGACGAAGAAGCGUUAGAUAUUGAGGGUGGGGAGAAAUGUGCUGGGGAAUCUGUUACGGGAGGGAGAAUGGUUGAAGAGAAAUGCACGGUGAAGAAUGAAAUGGUGAAGGAAUCAGAUGAACUGAUUCUGGAGGACAAUGUUGCAAAAUAUGAAGAAAUAGAAAUGAAGAGUGAAUUUGUAUCGGGAAAGGUAAAUGAAUGCGAGGAUAUGGAUGAAAAUUUGGGUAGUACUUUGCACUUGGAUUCAGGGUUUGGAAAAGAAGCCACGGUCAAUGAUGAAGAGCAGAGAAGAGUUGUACCAGUAAACGUAGUUGCAGAUGUAAAGGAUUCAGACUGUGGAGAAUCAAACGAGGAUGUAUCAGGAAACGACUGUUAAUGAUAGGCCAACUUCGAGAGAAGUGCUUGGAUAAGUGAUUAAUUUUGUGUAAAUGUUAUCAAAGAAUCGGUGAACUUUAUGGUGCGUCAAUCACGAUGCAGUGGUCUGUGGUGUGCAUACAAUUUUCUUAAUGUAAUUGCCAUACUUGUUCUUUAUCUGUUUUGGAAUAAUCUAAAUCAAAUGCAUUUUUAAACUAACUGUGUAGUUGUAUUUUUAUUUUGGUUAUGUAAUGAAUUAUGCACUAGUCUUCUCAUAGUUUUCCUUUCUAUGAUUGUGGUUUUAACUCUAACAUUCAUCAAAACAAGCGGGUUGCAGUCAUCUGGUAAAGGAUACCUGAAAUGUGGAAAUCAGGUGCAGAUCACCCAACUUCUUAAGUUGGUUUCUCCUAUCAUCUUAGUCUCUGCUAACUCUGAUUCUUGAAGUGUCUUUCAGAUCUCACUUCUUGAGAUUUGCAAUUCUUGUGCUAAUGGUAAUUUGCCCACUUCGGUUCCGUGUAUUUGACAUAUCCUUAUUUCCUCGAGCAGUUAGUGGAAGUUUUAGUGUGCAUCCCAGGAAGAAUAUUGUGAACUGUUUUGUGCCUUUCCAUCAUCAGUUAUUUUGACAGUCAUCUUUAUCAUUUCUACGAUGGCUGAACGGGAUGUUUAGAAAUAACGAUUGAAAGGUAUAAGACGCAAGAUUUGCGUGCAUGAUGCGUUUGCUGUCUGGAAAA